rnacentral:rRNA from 1 species
AUGCUGCAAGCAUCGGAAACGAGGGUACAGGCGGCUACCUCCUCGCCUUCUUCACCGUUCACCACCGGUGACCCGCCACAGCCCUCCCUCCCGGGCUCGCCGCCUCUACCAGGCUCGCCCGCGUUCCCGCCGUCGCCCGGCUUCCCGGGCAUGGCAGGCGCGCAGCCGUCUACUUCGCCUUCGCUGCACCCGGCCAGUACAUGCAUGGAGCCGCUGAUACUGGUGGAACCGUGCGCCAGCUACCUGACGAACUCCAGCGUGCGGGCGCCGCCGAGAACGUGCUGCGACGGCUUCAGGUCGCUCGUCGGCGGCGGCGACAGGAUUUGCCUGUGCCACGCCAUCAUGGGCGACCUGGGUACAUUUGCAGGCGGGACGAUAGACCAGCUACGCAUGCUCGUGCUGCCUCUAACGUGCAGCACGUUCAUACCGCCGGAGCUUCUUCUGAUGUGCCUCGGCAAGUCUGAAUCGUUGUUUUGUUUUAUUUUAUUAAUUGUACAUGAACUUACGAGAUGA